AACUAAUUUCACAUUCAUUAAAAAAAAAAACUUAAAGUGUAAUUAUUGAAAAAUAAUUAGUUAGUAAUUUUUAAGUGCAUUUGUUGCUUCUUUUGUAUAGUUUGUGUAGGUAGACGGCAUAUGUGUGUUUUUUAGUUUCAAUUUGAAAAUAAUAUCAUCCUCUGUAUUAUAACCUCAGGAAUGACAUAAACAACUUACACAAUUUAUUUUUUUUUUUUUUUGUUUUUCUUUUUAUAUUCUAAUCUUGAUUUUUCUGUGAUUUUUUUUUUUAACUUUCUUUGUUAUAUUUUAAAAUUAUAUUUGAGUCAUUCCUAAAUGUUUUUUUUUUUUUUGUUCAGCCCUUCUUCCUCUCUACUGACUAUGUAAUGUAAUAAAAAUGCACAUUAAAAGGUCAAAAAAACAACAAAAACAACAACAAAUUAACCUACUUUACUUUAUACUGGGAGAAAAGGAUGUGUACUUUUUAUUUAAUUUCAAUAGGUUUUUUAUUUUAUUAUUUCCUGUUUUUUUUUUUUCUCAAAAUCAAAAUAAAUAAAAACAACAAAAAAAUAAACAAAAACAUCAAUAAAUUACACCAUGAGAGUAAUUUUUUUUCUUAUUCUCAUACAAAAACAACAAAACCCAGAAAAAAGUUCAGAAGUGAGGUGACGCCAAGAAAAACAAGGAGAGAAAGCUCUCCUUUACAGAAAUCACAAAAAAAGCUUUUGUUGAAGUUGGGAUAGGGCAGGUAGCCAUUAAAAACGCAGGAUAGUUUAUUUAUAAACCAAAGCAGAAGGCAGGUAGAUUUUUUAAUACAAAUGCAAAAAAAAAAAAAAGAGAUAAGGGAUGGUAGAGGUAUUUGAAGUUUAUACGGGGGAGGGGGUGUUUUUUAGGAUAUUGACGUGGGGAAGGUUUUUUUUUGAUAAAUUUUUCAAAUAUUACGUCUCGUCUACGUGAUUUAUGUUUAUAACAAAAAAACUCGAUAAGUUUGUUUAUUGAUUUCCAUUAUUUUUUUAAGGGUUGUUUGUAUCCCCUUAAUUUUUUUUUUGUUGGUAAAAUUGUGCACUAAAACUUGACAUUUCAAGACUCUUUUUGUCUCCUAAUCAAAUUUUGUGCUGCAAGUCUCCCUAAAAUAGGGUAGGGGAGGGCAAGGGGUAGGGUACAUUUAUAUCUAGAACCUAGUUCUUGUCCCAAACAUAUGGGUCGCAGUCCAUUUGUUGCUAACAUGUGUUUGUGUAUGUGUAUGAUCAUUUAUAUAUUACACAUUUGUAUGUGUAUUUUUGUAGUGCAACUAUUUGGAACCUACAAAACUGGAGAGUAUAUCCUCCAUCCCUUUCUGUCAAUGUUUACAUCUCCGGGUACAUAAAAGCGAUAGUGUCCAUCAUGAUGCAACACACAAAUACAACCAAGCACAAUGCCCCUUUUUUUCACCAAUACAAUCAAAAUCAAAUACCAUCAAAACUAAAUUAACCCCUGUGAGUACAUGUAGAGUACAUGUACGAGAGAAUAUAUGUGCUUGUUCAAAAAGAACUUUUUUUUUUGUAUGUCAUUUUGUAUUUUUAUUUUUUUUUUAUAUUGACUGGCUGGCUUGGUAUGUCUCUCGGCAUUGAGAAAACUUAUACUUUUGAUCGCUCGAGCCGAGGACCGUCAUUCGCUUGAGAAUAUAGGCCGACUGUGACUUUCCUGGUGAUUGGACUUGUUCAUAAAAUUCAAGUUCAAGAAUAUGUACAAUUAUUAUUUUUUUUUUAUUCUUUUUGUGAAUUAAAAAAAAAAAAAUAAAUAAAAAAAAUGUUAAGAAAGUAAAAAAUUUCUUUCUGUUUUUUUUUUUUUAAUUAAGAAAGUGAAAAUUAUGAAUUUAAAAAAAAAUUAAAAAUUGAAGAGUUAAACAAUUUAUGUUGUUUGUUGUUGUUGUUGUUGUUUUUGGAUUUGAAUCAAUUUGAUGCAAUAUGUUUAUUUUUUUUUUUCAUGUGAUUAUUAUUAAUUAUGGCCAAGUGUGACUUUUCCUUUUCAAAAUAGUGCUUCUUUUGGGGGCGCAUUGUUGUUAUAGCCCUGCGUGAUGAAAUAUGUAUAUUUUGGUGGUUGAAAAUUGAGAGUAAAAUAGAAAAUGAAAAAUUAAUUGCGUCGUAGAAAGGAUUUUUUUUUUUUUCAAAAAUUGAAUUGAAAACUUUAUGAAAAAUAAAAACAAACAAACAAAGUGACAACCAACAAUAUGAAGAGAAUAUUAAUUUUCUGUUGGAUAACAAUAAUUCAUAAAAAUUCAAAAAUAAUGAAAAAAAAGUUGGGAUUUUUUUGAAAGUGCAACGAAAAUGUUGGAGAAAAAAAGUCGAUCUUUAAAAUCGUACUUUUCUAGUAUACCUACCUACCAGCCAGCAGAAUAAAAACAAAAACAAAAACAACACAAAUUUCUCUCUAUACAAAAACCGAAUGAGAAACCCCGUACAUAAACUUAUAACCAAACAUCUCAAGGCUGAUGCUCACGUCAAAGGAUACAUGCACCCAAUGUGCAAGGCACCAAGCACACAAAAGAUGACGCGUGUCUCAAAAAGCACCCUCUCGCUCUGCACAAGCGGAAGUAGGUGGUAGGUAGUUUGAUUCGUAUUGUGGGCGGGGGUGAUGAUGGUUUUGGUAUGAAGCGGGUGCUGCAGAUACCCCACAAAACAAUUUCUCAGAACAUUCCAGCUCUUAGCUAUUCAGCUCUGGUGGCAAAACUCAAUGAAAAUUCAAUUUUGAUUUUCAUUUCAUUUUGAAACAAAAAAACAAAAACAACAAAAAAAAAGCUGAAUUAUGUGUCACAAAACGACCAAACGGCGGCGCAGUUGCUGGUACUUCAAAAUGGAAAAAGAAAAAUGGAAAAAUAAAAGAGAUGUGCUUCAUCAGCGGAAGUCAUGCGCACCAACGUUCAAACUUGAACUUGAAAAUUCCAUUCCAUUAAAAUGUAUGGUGGUAGGUAAGUGAGGCUACACAAAAGUAAAAUCAAUAAAACGCUUCACUUUCAGAUAUUUUCAUUUUUAUUUUUUUUUUUUUUUUGUAAAUUUAAUACAAGUUCAUAUACAUCGAUAAAAGGUGUGUGUGUGUGUGUGUGUGUGAGUAUCUGCGAAUUUUCUAUCUUAGUAUGUGUAAAAGAGAACCCAAUACAAACGAGUGUUAAAUGAGUAGGAGAGUAUCAAAACACCAGUUUUAUGCAAAAAAAAAGCUCUUUUGAAAAGAGCUUUUGAAAAGCAAAAGUUCAGAAAAACCCUCUAAACUCAUACUCCAUACAAAGUGAGAGUAAAAAUUCAUUUUCAAUACACAAAAAGAUACAUUUUUCUUAUCAAUGUGUAAGUUUCAUAACACCCACACUCUCUUUUAUUGUUUAAAAGCUUUUGAUAAAAGCUCAAAAGCUUUUCAUAUUCUAGCCAAAAAUGUAUGUCAUAACUUGAUUUUUGAUAAAAUACAAAAAAAAAACGCAGAGCUUUUAGCGUUGGUUCUAUCUGGAGCCUCUGCUUGUACUUUCAUCCAAUUUGUACACAAAACAAAGUAAAAAAAAAAAUACGUUGUUGUUCCUUUAAACCAAAAAAAUUGAGAUGUAUUGCGUAGGUGGUUUUGGCUCUCGAAAGUUUUUUUUUGGUAUCAUACACACUCUACAACAACACUCUGGCUCAAUUUUGCUCUGCUUGAUUGGCCGCUUUGGCCUGAACAUCUUUUUGGUCGGUGUCGGUUGGUCGGGUCUGGAAAAAGAGAGUCUAGAAGUGUUGUGUUCCGUGUUCAAUCUGAUGAUGGUGGUGAUACAAUUUGAAAUCAAUUGCACACGAAAACCUAGAAUUGAAAUCAAAGUUUCAUCACAAAUCAAAAAAAAAAAAAAAAUAAAUAAAAAUCACUGCAUAUUUUUUCUCUGUGUUUGUUGUUGUU